rnacentral:rRNA from 1 species
GUAGUUAGCCGGGGCUUCCUCCUUGACUACCGUCACUUUCUUCGUUGCCAAGGACAGAGGUUUACAACCCGAAAGCCUUCUUCCCUCACGCGGCGUUGCUGGGUCAGGCUUGCGCCCAUUGCCCAAUAUUCCCCACUGCUGCCUCCCGUAGGAGUCUGGACCGUGUCUCAGUUCCAGUGUGGCCGUUCAGCCUCUCAGCUCGGCUACCCAUCGUCGACUAGGUGGGCCGUUACCCCGCCUACUAUCUAAUGGGACGCGAGCCCCUCCCUCUGCGGAUUACUCCUUUGACCUCUCUCCGAUGCCGGAAUGUGGUCUUAUGCGGUAUUAGCAUCUGUUUCCAAAUGUUAUCCCCCUCAAAGGGUCAGGUUGCUCACGCGUUACUCACCCGUUCGCCACUAAGCAAUAACCGAAAUCAUUGCUCCGUUCGACUUGCAUGUGUUAGGUCGACGCCGCCACGCGUUCGUUCCUCGAACCAACGAUACAACUUACUUGUA